GAUGGUUCAGUGUAGAAUUCUCGCCGUGCCACCCACGCGGGAGAUGGCCCCGGGUUCGAUUCCCGGCCAUGCA